rnacentral:rRNA from 1 species
CCUACGGGUGGCAGCAGUGAGGAAUAUUGGUCAAUGGACGAGAGUCUGAACCAGCCAAGUAGCGUGAAGGAUGACUGCCCUAUGGGUUGUAAACUUCUUUUAUAUGGGAAUAAAAUGUUCCACGUGUGGGAUUUUGUAUGUACCAUAUGAAUAAGGAUCGGCUAACUCCGUGCCAGCAGCCGCGGUAAUACGGAGGAUCCGAGCGUUAUCCGGAUUUAUUGGGUUUAAAGGGAGCGUAGGUGGAUUGUUAAGUCAGUUGUGAAAGUUUGCGGCUCAACCGUAAAAUUGCAGUUGAAACUGGCAGUCUUGAGUACAGUAGAGGUGGGCGGAAUUCGUGGUGUAGCGGUGAAAUGCUUAGAUAUCACGAAGAACUCCGAUUGCGAAGGCAGUUCACUGGACUGCAACUGACACUGAGGCUCGAAAGUGUGGGUAUCAAACAAGAUUAGAUACCCGUGUAGUC